GGGUUGUGAGGUUAAGCGACUAAGCGUACACGGUGGAUGCCCUGGCAGUCAGAGGCGAUGAAGGACGUGCUAAUCUGCGAUAAGCGUCGGUAAGGUGAUAUGAACCGUUAUAACCGGCGAUUUCCGAAUGGGGAAACCCAGUGUGUUUCGACACACUAUCAUUAACUGAAUCCAUAGGUUAAUGAGGCGAACCGGGGGAACUGAAACAUCUAAGUACCCCGAGGAAAAGAAAUCAACCGAGAUUCCCCCAGUAGCGGCGAGCGAACGGGGAGCAGCCCAGAGCCUGAAUCAGUAUGUGUGUUAGUGGAAGCGUCUGGAAAGGCGCGCGAUACAGGGUGACAGCCCCGUACACAAAAAUGCACAUGCUGUGAGCUCGAUGAGUAGGGCGGGACACGUGGUAUCCUGUCUGAAUAUGGGGGGACCAUCCUCCAAGGCUAAAUACUCCUGACUGACCGAUAGUGAACCAGUACCGUGAGGGAAAGGCGAAAAGAACCCCGGCGAGGGGAGUGAAAAAGAACCUGAAACCGUGUACGUACAAGCAGUGGGAGCACGCUUAGGCGUGUGACUGCGUACCUUUUGUAUAAUGGGUCAGCGACUUAUAUUCUGUAGCAAGGUUAACCGAAUAGGGGAGCCGAAGGGAAACCGAGUCUUAACUGGGCGUUAAGUUGCAGGGUAUAGACCCGAAACCCGGUGAUCUAGCCAUGGGCAGGUUGAAGGUUGGGUAACACUAACUGGAGGACCGAACCGACUAAUGUUGAAAAAUUAGCGGAUGACUUGUGGCUGGGGGUGAAAGGCCAAUCAAACCGGGAGAUAGCUGGUUCUCCCCGAAAGCUAUUUAGGUAGCGCCUCGUGAAUUCAUCUCCGGGGGUAGAGCACUGUUUCGGCAAGGGGGUCAUCCCGACUUACCAACCCGAUGCAAACUGCGAAUACCGGAGAAUGUUAUCACGGGAGACACACGGCGGGUGCUAACGUCCGUCGUGAAGAGGGAAACAACCCAGACCGCCAGCUAAGGUCCCAAAGUCAUGGUUAAGUGGGAAACGAUGUGGGAAGGCCCAGACAGCCAGGAUGUUGGCUUAGAAGCAGCCAUCAUUUAAAGAAAGCGUAAUAGCUCACUGGUCGAGUCGGCCUGCGCGGAAGAUGUAACGGGGCUAAACCAUGCACCGAAGCUGCGGCAGCGACGCUGAUGCGUUGUUGGGUAGGGGAGCGUUCUGUAAGCCUGCGAAGGUGUGCUGUGAGGCAUGCUGGAGGUAUCAGAAGUGCGAAUGCUGACAUAAGUAACGAUA
rnacentral:rRNA from 1 species